CCUACGGGAGGCAGCAGUGAGGAAUAUUGGUCAAUGGCCGUAAGGCUGAACCAGCCAAGUAGCGUGAGGGAAGACUGCCCUAUGGGUUGUAAACCUCUUUUAUGCGGGGAUAAAGGUGUCCACGUGUGGAUGUUUGCAGAUAACGCAUGAAUAAGGACCGGCUAAUUCCGUGCCAGCAGCCGCGGGAAUACGGAAGGACGGGGCGUUAUCCGGAUUUAUUGGGUUUAAAGGGAGUGUAGGCCGGUCUUUAAGGAUGCCGGUAAAUAUUGUGGCUCAACCAUGAGAGUGCGGCUGGAACUGGCGACCUUGAGUGCGCGGAAGGCAGGCGGAAUUCGUGGUGUAGCGGUGAAAUGCUUAGAUAUCACGAAGAACCCCGAUUGCGAAGGCAGCCUGCCGCAGCGUUACUGACGCUGAAGCUCGAAAGCGCGGGUAUCGAACAGGAUUAGAUACCCCAGUAGUC
rnacentral:rRNA from 1 species